rnacentral:rRNA from 1 species
UACGGAGGGUGCAAGCGUUAUCCGGAUUCACUGGGUUUAAAGGGUGCGUAGGUGGGCUAGUAAGUCCGUGGUGAAAUCUCCAAGCUUAACUUGGAAACUGCCGUGGAUACUAUUAGUCUUGAAUCUCGUGGAGGUAAGCGGAAUAUGUCAUGUAGCGGUGAAAUGCUUAGAUAUGACAUAGAACACCGAUAGCGAAGGCAGCUUGCUACACGAUUAUUGACACUGAGGCACGAAAGCGUGGGGAGCAAACAGG